GUCCCGCCGAGCGUCGACGCCGAGGCAAGAGUGAGCUAGCAGCUGGGGUUUCUUUAGGAGGCCGUCACACCCAGAGGGCACCUCUGUUCGGCCGCCUCUUACCCUAGCUUUCUUUCACCGCCACCCGCCCGCCGUACUUGGUGUCUUCUCACUUCUGAGUCAUUUCACCUCCAAUUUUUCAGAAAAGAUUUCGGAUUUUCCUGUAAUUCCUUUUUGGAGGUUGGGAAGUUAUGAUUGAGACACCAAUGGAUUCCUUGUCUGGUGAGAACACACCUACUCGUCCAUAAACUGGUAAUUGGUGAGUAAGGCUAUUCAUUCAUUCAGUGAAGUCCAACUGCUUGAAUUAUGUAUCAUUUAACAGUGCUGUACUUCAUGGUCUUCAUUACGUGAGAUAAACUCAACUGUAAACCACUAUUCAAUUAUAAAGAUAGAGAAAAUGGCUCCUGAUGCUUAAAGGAAAGUACAUCAUUCCUUCAUUCAGCAAAUAUCAUUGAACAUUAGUACCUGUGAAAUACUGGAAAGAAAAUUGAGAGAUUCAGAUGAAGCAAAAGCUUCUGUUGCUGAAAUAUCAGCUAGCUCUGUACACCAAUGCUAAACGGAAAUGUGGAGACAGCAUUGGAGGAAACAGAAAGUAGCUUUAAUUGCCAGGCAAGGAGGGAACACAGUAGGCUAAUGCCUUAAGGACUGUAUCCCCCCUAGAGAGGGUAGUGAGGAGUCUUAAUAGUGUCCAAAGAGUAGGGCAUGAUCAGUCCACGGACAUUUUCCUGAUUGGUUGGUGGUGAGGUCACUGGGAAUCAGCAUCAUCAAUCUUCAGAUUCCAACAUGUCUGGGGUCUACAUACUUGUAGGCAGCAUACAGUUAACUUCUUCCCUCCAGUAGGGGCUUCAGCAUCUGCAAAACAGCUCCAAGAAUAUGACUCAGAAUAUUAUCUAUAGUCCUUGAAGAAGAACUAAAUUUCCUUGACUUUGUUGAAUGGUUAAACUAUCAUUAUUUUGUCUUGUCUGUUUUCCUUUUUCUCUGUAUUUUCUCACUUCUCUGAUUAAAUUGAUUCUUUGACUAAAGUUUUCCUAUAGACAAAAGGCAGGCAGAGGACGUGAGUGGGGGUCUCUUCUGGGAAGACCUUACAGGGUCCUGCUUGGUUACACCUCCUUACUUCAUUUACACCUAUAACUCCUAGAGUAUAAACUCCAUGAGGGCAGGGGUUUUGUUUUUCCAUUGUUCUCUCUCCAGUGUGACUA
ensembl:lncRNA